CCUACGGGAGGCAGCAGUGAGGAAUAUUGGUCAAUGGACGAAAGUCUGAACCAGCCAUGCCGCGUGCAGGAUGACGGCUCUAUGAGUUGUAAACUGCUUUUGUAUUAGGGCAAAAACCCCUACGUGUAGGGGCUUGAGAGUAUACUACGAAUAAGGAUCGGCUAACUCCGUGCCAGCAGCCGCGGUAAUACGGAGGAUGCAAGCGUUAUCCGGAUUUAUUGGGUUUAAAGGGUGCGGAGGCGGUGUGGUAAGUUAGAGGUGAAAUACCGGGGCUCAACACCGGAACUGCCUCUAAAACUGUUGAGCUAGAGAGUACGUGCGGUAGGCGGAAUGUAUGGUGUAGCGGUGAAAUGCUUAGAGAUCAUACAGAACACCGAUUGCGAAGGCAGCUUACCAAACCAUAACUGACGUUGAGGCACGAAAGCGUGGGUAGCAAACAGGAUUAGAUACCCGUGUAGUC
rnacentral:rRNA from 1 species